UCCAACAAAUCCAAAGAACUUAUGCUCACAGGGAAAGAGGACUGACUGCCGUCCCUGUGAUGAGGGCUUCUUCUCAGAGGAUUACAGCCCCAUAGCUUGUGAGAAAUGCCAAACAUGCGAACAUGGUUACAAAAGGAACUGUACAGCAACCACAAAUGCACAAUGUUCAUGCCGUCCGGGUUUCUUGUGCUCUAACCAUGUCUGUUCAAAAUGUGAAAAGGAAAUACAAUGUAAAGAUGGGUACCGACGAAAGAAGACAGGGCAGAGAGAGUUUUCAUACAGCUGUGAGCCAUGCCCUGAUGAUACAUAUUUUGACAAACAUACGGGUGACUGCAGGCCAUUGACACAGUACAGUGCAAAUGGACUCACUACAGCUUCCCCAAGUAACAAAACCCACAACACAAUUUGUACCACACAUGUGACGCAAAACGCUGGGGAUUGCUUCCAGAUGAUUUUUGCCCUUGGCUUUGUUUCCAUUUCCUUUGUCCUCUUUGGGUUCCUUUUUUAUGUCUACAUGAAGAAGUGCAGGAGGCACACGGCGGGUGAGUAUGCCAUGUUGCAACAACCCUCAAACACACGUAAAGAC